GACGAACGCUGGCGGCGUGCCUAAUACAUGCAAGUAGAACGCACAGUUUAUACCGUAGCUUGCUACAUCAUAGACUGUGAGUUGCGAACGGGUGAGUAACGCGUAGGUAACCUGCCUGGUAGCGGGGGAUAACUAUUGGAAACGAUAGCUAAUACCGCAUAAUAUUAAUUAUUGCAUGAUAAUUAAUUGAAAGGUGCAAUUGCACCACUACCAGAUGGACCUGCGUUGUAUUAGCUAGUAGGUGAGGUAACGGCUCACCUAGGCGACGAUACAUAGCCGACCUGAGAGGGUGAUCGGCCACACUGGGACUGAGACACGGCCCAGACUCCUACGGGAGGCAGCAGUAGGGAAUCUUCGGCAAUGGACGAAAGUCUGACCGAGCAACGCCGCGUGAGUGAAGAAGGUUUUCGGAUCGUAAAGCUCUGUUGUAAGAGAAGAACGGGUGUGAGAGUGGAAAGUUCACACUGUGACGGUAUCUGACCAGAAAGGGACGGCUAACUACGUG
rnacentral:rRNA from 1 species